GGUGGUAUCAUGUAUUGUAGGUGUAGUCGAAGUCAAUGGUGGUCAUCCUGGUGCUCUCCGAUUGGUACGUGGUUGCAGUUAAAGGACUAAGUUGGGUUGGGUAGAGCGGGGGUAAGGGGACCUAUCGUAGUGCGCGCCUCCGCCGUCGGUGGCCGCCACCGCCGCCGGUCCUCGGGGAGAGUGUGGGAGUCCGUCCUCGCAAGAUGCACGCCUCUCCGCGGGGAGGCCGUCCUGGCGGCCGAGUCGAGUGGAGACUUGUGAGGCUGCGCCGUCGGGCCUGGCGGAGAGUGUGGGGAGUCCGUCCUCCUCGGAAACGCACGCCGCGCUGCCGGAAGGCCGUCAGGACGGCCGGGUCGAGGGAGACGCACGGCGCGCAGCAGGGAGGCCGUCCUGGCGACCGGAUAGAGGGGAGACUAAAAGAUUGCUGAGAGAGCCCGACACAGGGGGAAGAGCACGGGUCGAGGGGAGGGCAAGGCCUGUUCUGCGUAGACGGAAGCCACCCUUCCAGCCUAAGCUAGCCAAGGUGGCCUUAGCCUGGCGGUCGACUGCAGGCCUCCACGAGGCACCGACCUAAGGGAGACCACCCGUGAGGCAGGAGUCGGUACCCUACGUGCGGUGACGACGGGUAGGGCUGACCCGCCUCCGAGGGAAAAGGACGUCCACGACGGGGCGACUAAAUCACGAGUCUUUUAAAACAACCGACAACUAAACGACGGUUCCUGCCGUUUGAGCUGAUACCGCUACGGUAGACACCUGAAAUUCCACGGAUUAACUACAAACCGCAAGGGAGAAGAUUAUUGCAAGCACUGCAAGGGGAAGGAGAGGGGUGUUAGAGCUCUCUUUGACUACCUAAAAACGGGAUAUUUCAGAUGAUGUGGAUUCAUGGAGUGGAGUAAAACAUAGUAGCAGGAGGUCAUGCCCACCCAGAGAGGGUUUUAAGAGUAUGACGUCGGCCAACACGCACGAACUGCUGUGGGGCCAUCGAUAGAAGCAAACAGAAGGGAGUGACGUAUGUGUUUGCUUAAGCUAAAGAUGGAGGAUGACCAUGUAUAAUAAAGAAUAAAAGUAUGGUUAAAACGACUCGAAGGUAACAUUGGGUCUUUACAAUAGUAGUCCCUGUGGAAAAUAAAGUACGUUUAUAAUAUUUGGUCUGUGUACUGAAUCUUAAAGGAUAUUUAUAAUGGAUUAAAUACGUCGAGUUUGACACGGUCACAAAAUUUUUACAGUCUGGUAAAAACCAACUUCCGGACCCGUGAGACGGAGGCUUAUUCACCACGGAUGUACUACUUUAAAAAACGAACCGGUUUGAUCGGAACACCCACUUGCAAAGCAAGAACUGGAACGAACGACGAUACAGCAAGUCACUCCGGUUAGUUGCAUAAAUGUAAAAGAAAGGUUCAUUCGGUAGGUUUGUUAGUGGUGCGGGUUUAGAAUGUACGUACACGAUAUAAUUAUGUAUGUCAUUGACGAAUUAAAUGACCACUAAUCUUAGUGUUAUAUUUAUGGUAAAUACUGAAAGAUAUGUCAGUGACGAUAAAAAAAUUAUGGUAAGUGACGAUUUAAUCAAAAAAAAACGCCCCGUGACGAUUUAAUCAACACAUAAUUAUUAAGAAUUUUGUUGUAGCGAACCAAUGUUAAAAAAAAAGACGGGGUGUAGAUAUAUAUUGUCGUGGGCAUCGUAAGAUAGACAUCUUCAAGUAGAAGGGAUGUGGAUUUAUAACUGAAAAUGUUUGAUGUACCUGUUGGUCGUCCUUCCGUUGUCCAUGUUGAUAAUGUAUGUUUCAUCAAAAGAGCCAAGGAGGAUGCUUUAAUUGUGGUACGUAUGGAUAAAAGGAUAUCAUACGCUAGAGUACGUGGUUCUUUUCAAAACGGUGGAAGUAGUUGCGUUGUUUGUUCUCUUUCUGUGUUUCUGAUGUAUCGCCGACAAUGUUUCUACUUCUUACGAUGUUUUUGCGGUUGUUGGUCGUAUAGUAAAGAAAAAAGAAAAAGAAAACGCUCAUUGGUCGUAGAGUAAAGUUGUGCUGUGGUGUUUCCUAGUAGGUAGGUCCCGACCUUUUAUGUAGAAACUCAUGUAGUUCUUUCCUUAGGGUCUACAUGUUAAGCAAGUGUUCCUUCUUCUAUAACACGAUAAAUAGGAUACUUUGACAAUAUGUAGAUAGUUUAUUAGUUCAUUUUAUUUAAGUAAUAAUGUAAAAGUGAGUCGGCUUAAAUAGUUUUAAUAACGUUG
rnacentral:rRNA from 1 species